rnacentral:lncRNA from 1 species
CCGCACUCCUGGCCCCGGGCGAUGGAGCGCCCGCCCACGUGACUGCUCACGUCAUUUCCUGUUGUACGGAUUUUUUUUUUUUUUUUUUUUUUUCAAUCUCAACAGGGACUGUGGUGAAGGAGAUAAGGCAGUGUGAUCUCUGUGGAUGGAGGGAAUGGGUGAUUUGGAACUGUGGUGGGUAUAAUACUUGCUUGAAGCACCUGUGCGGACAGAAAUUGCUCAUCUGUUUGGAACGAGGGUAAAAGACACUGAAGCUAAACAUUAUUUAUCGAGACAUCACCGCUCUUCACUCAC